AAGCAUCUCUUGACUGCGUGCGCCACACCCACUCCCUUCCCUCCUCCUUCUCUGCUCACCAGCUCCUGGCUGGCCCACCUUGACUCUGUCUGUGCAGGCGAAGAACAUUCAGCUGCCAUCCGCGCGCCAUUCGCUCGACCUCGCCAGGGGGGGGGCAGCUGUUGCCGUGUGUGAGAGAGGGGGAAGGCAGUCGAACCGUAGACGACGGGCCGCUUCCUGUCCGCCUCCAACGUGCUCUGUCUCUCUGAGUGCAUGCGUGCGCGUUGGUUGAGCACUCACACACACAUCACACACACACACACACCGUUGUGGACGGGGCUAUCCCCCUCCUGCAUUCAUCAUUGUAUUUCAGCCCAGCAGCAGCAGCAAGACGGCAAAGGGCAGCGGCAUCAGGAUCGCCUUCCCCUCACCCCCUGCCUAUCCACGCAGAGGCACAUCGGCAGUGUGUGCAGCUCGCCAUGUUCGUGUAUCUCAGCAAGCGCAUCGCCAUGCCCAAUGGCGUGAAGGUGACGUCCAUUGCGUGGAGUGAGGGGCAGGGGUGGCUUGCGUGCGGUGGGGAGAAGGGCCUGCUGAAGGUGCUGAAGGUGGAUGGCGGCCCACAGGGGCAGAGGUCCGGGGGUCUCUCGUCUAGUCAGACGCUAGAGGGGCACGACACCACCGUCGACCUGGUCACGUGGAACCAGCAGUACUGCAAGCUCACAAGCAGCGACGUCAGUGGCCGCAUUAUUGUGUGGAUGCUGCACAAAGGGAUGUGGUUCGAGGAGAUGGUGAACAACCGCAACACCAGCCGUGUGGUCGACUUUGCCUGGAGUCCGUCCGGCACGAAGAUCUGCAUUGCCUACGAGGACGGCGCCGUGAUUGUCGGCGGCGUGGAGGGCAACCGCUACUGGGGUCGUGAGCUGCCCUACAAGCUGGCGAAGGUGUGCUGGAGCGCCGACGGCCACUCCAUCCUCUUCGGUACCGCGACGGGUGACGUCUAUGUGCACGACGCAUCCAGCGGCGCACAGCUUAGCCAGGUCGAGGUCCAGUGCAACGAUGGCAAGGCCUUGUCCCCGCUGGCUGGAUUGUCAUGGCACCCGGCGUGGGUGGAGCGACCGGAGCCGCUGGCGACGCUCGCGAUUUGUUACCAGUCCGGCAAGAUGCAGCUGAUGACCAGCAUCGGUGACGAGACGCCGCGCCUCAUGGACAGCGACUUUCCCGUUCACUUUGUUUCGUGGAAUUCUUCCGGCACGGUUCUCGCUGCGGCCGCGCUCACGCCGGCCACCGCGGAGGACGCGCCCACUGUUGUCACGCAGUUCUUCAGCAACGAGGGCGUUCACCUGCGCACGCUGCGGGUGGCUGGUAAGCAGUGCGGCGGGAUCACGUGGGAGGGUGGCGGCCUGCGCGUCGCCAUUGCCGUGGACUCCUCCGUGUACUUCGCGAAUGUGCGGCCCAGCUACAAGUACUGCUACUUCAAGAAGACGGUCGUCUUUGCCUUCACGAUGCCAGACAAAGUCGAGGAGAGCGUCAUGUUUUGGAAUGUCAACACAAACGAACGCAGGACGAAGAGCGUGCGUGGCUUGCAGUACCUUAGCGCGUGCAAGGAUGCCUGCGUGCUGGUCAGCCGCCCCGACGCUGCGCAGCAGCAGCGGAUGAUCCAGCUGGUGAACGCCAUUGGCAGCCCGUUGGAGACGCGCUUCAUUGACAUGGAGCUGUACACGUACGACAUGAACUCAUCCGUCGUCGUGUGCUGCGGUGAUGAGUCUAUCUACAUCUGGCAGUUCCGCGACCCCGGCACAGCGGUGGACGCGCUCGACCCCGUCUCAAUGCAGGCAAGCCGCGCUGAGAGCCAGGAGCGCGUCAUCCACAUCGGCGACAUCGUCCGCAGCGACACGGCGCCGACGAUGAAGGUGCGCUCGGCUCUCACGAAUGAUCUCAUCUGCGCCAUGUGUGUCAGCGAGACGCACAUGUUCGUUGCUCUCGAGUCGGGCACCCUGCACGUCUAUCAGCUCAGCCCACUGCAGCUCGUCUCCAAGUACAUCCUGCCCACCCGUGCGCAGUCCAUGGCAGUGAACUGCAACUCGACGCAGCUGGCCGUCAUCGACCUCGGCUGCAUCACGAGCGUGUAUUCUAUUGAGCGGGAGAAGUUCUCACUUGUGCCGUGCAAGGCCGAGCCGAUCGACGGGGUGGAGCUGAAAGACGUCUGGAACUUGCGUUGGGCCGUCGACGACCCGCACCGUUUUGCCGUGAUGGAGAAGACGCGCAUGCUCGUGUACAACCACGGCGUCGCGGAGGAGCCGGUGCAGUCGUGCGCGAACCUGUGCAAGUUCAAGUCACUCAAGAUCCGCACUCUGCAGCUGGACGAGCUCCUACUCGACCCGGAGCGGCCCCGCAAAGACUACGUUGUCGACUUUGAGGCGCAGCUGCUGCGCGAGAUGCGGGCCGUGUUGCGCGACGGCACUGCCAAGGAGGCGUACGAGUUUGCCGAGUCGCACAACAUCAAGAAGCUAUGGGAGCUGCUGGCGGAGCACACGCUUUUCCAGCUGGACUUUACCUACGCCGAGGUGGCAUUCAUCCACUGCAAGGACUACCCCGCCAUUCAGUUCGUGAAGCGCGUCCGCAGUCUUGACGACCCGAAGAAGCAGCUGGCCGAGGUGAACGCCUACUACCGCCGCUUCGACGAGGCGGAGCGGCUGUACAAGGACGUGGACCGCAAGGACCUGGCACUGGACCUGCGCUACCGUCUCGGUGACUGGUUCGGCGUCGUACGGCUUGUGCAGGAGGGCGGUGGUGACGAGGCGCUGCUGCUGCAGGCAUGGGAGAACAUCGGCGACCACUACGCGAGCCGGCAGAAGUGGUCCAAAGCAGCGCAGUACUACACGCAGUGCCGCCACUACCGCAAGCUGGCGCAUGUCUUCUACAUCAUCGAGGACUACGAGAUGCUCACCCAGCUCAUCUCCAUGGCGGAGCACGACAAGGAGCUGAUGGUGACCAUGGGCAACAUGCUGCUGACCGUCGGGCUCGCGGAAGAGGCUGCGAAGGCCUUCGUUGCGGCCAGUGAGCCGCGCAUGGCGGUAAACGGCUGCGUGCAGGUGAACAUGUGGGACCGGGCCAUCGCUCUUGCGGAGGAGCACCGACUGGAGGAUGUCGGCCAGCUGCUCGAGAAGUACGCCAAGUACCUCAUCCACCGCGAGCGCCUCACCGAGGCGAUCGAGCUGUACCGCAAGGCAGGCAAGCACGAUGAAGCGGCGACGCUUCUGGCGCAGCUCGGCAAGCGCGCAGCCCUUAGCGACCCGCUCAAGGCGAAGAAGUUCUACGUGCUCUCGGCGCUCGAGGUGCAGAAGUACCGCACCACCGCGAUCGCCCUCAAUCGCGACGGUGUCGAGGUUGUCAGGGAGAUGCUCAACAAGGACCGAAGCACCGUGUCGGAGCGCACGCUCGACGCGGCCUGGCGCGGUGCCGAGGCGUACCACUUUCUGCUCAUGUGCCAGCAGCAGAUUGCAGACAAGAACUUCAAGGCCGCCCUUGUGCUGGCGAUGCGCCUCAUGGAGUACGACGACCUGGUGGCGCCGGUGGACAGCUACAGCCUGAUUGCCUUGACGGCGUACCUUGUGAAGAACUACGGUCUCUGUAGCAAGGCAUUCGCGCGGCUCGAGCAGGCGGAGCGCAACGACGAAGCUGGCGGGGCGGCGGCAGCGGCAACGACACAGUUGGAGAACUUCUCUCUAGACCUCGAUGUGACGCAGCGUACGAUGGCGGGCACGUGCGGCGGGUCCACCGGCGGUGGCACCGGCAUGCUUAGCGGUGGCGGCGGCUCUGCGCUAUCGGGCACCACGACGUCUCUUCAGCUCACGAACCCAGGCAAGGGCGUGACGCGCAUGGCGCCCAUGACGUACCCGACCGUGAGCCUGCGCGACCCGCCGCGCCCCUUUGCCGACCUCGCGAGGCAGAUUUUCAUGACUUACUCGCCGGUGGAUACGUCGGUGGACUCGGUGCCAUGCCCCACGUGCGGCAGCUUCAACAAGGAGUGGGCGCAGCGCUGCAUCAAGUGUCAGCAGCCCUUCAACACGUGCAUGGUGAGCGGCUGCGCCAUCGCAAGCGAGGACGGGGCGUGGCAAUGCCCCGUGUGCCACCGCAAGGCGCUGGAGGCGGUCGUGGACAAGUACCGCAACUGCCCGCUCUGUCACACACCCAAGAAGGGCCGCGCGCGCCGCGGAAUUUGAUCGGAGGCGUGUGUGCGUGCGCGCGGGUUUGUCUUGGCGAUGUAGUAUAGAGAGCCCUAUUCGUGAUGGGUGACGGAGAGAGAGCAUUAAAGACUUUAUAGUGGGCGGUGGCGGGCAUGGGCAGCGCCAGCGGAUGCGUGCCUGCGCGUCUUCUCUACUUUGCCUUCUACUCUCGCUUUUUCCCCUUUCUUCGUUUUCAUUUCGCGUACGCAUUUGUGUCUGUGCCCGCGUGUGCGUGCGGUGUUAGCGCGACGGUGCUGAUAGUGAUGAUGAUGUACUUUUCUUCUUAG
rnacentral:misc_RNA from 1 species